ACAUUGUUUAUAUAAAUUAUUAUAAAUAUAACCUGCUCAAUGAAAAAUUUUAAAUAGCUGCAAUUUUUGUACUAAGGUAGCAUAAUCAUUUGUUUUUUAAUUUUAAACUAGAAUGAAAGGUAAAACAAAUUAUUUCUUUAUUUUUUAUUUUAUUCCAAUUUAUAUUAAAUAUAAAAAUAUAUUUUUUUAAAAAAAAGACGACAAGACCCUAUUGAACUUUACUUUAGUUAAGCUGGGGAAGCUUAAUAAUAAACAUUUUAUUAAAAAUUUUAUAAAUGACCCAAAACAUUUGAUUAAUUAAUCAAGUUACCAUAGGGAUAACAGCGCAAUAAACUUUUAAAGUUCUUAUCUAAAAAUUUGUUUACGACCUCGAUGUUGAAUUAGAAACCUUUAUUAAGCAAAAAUAAUAAAAGUAGGUCUGUUCGACCUUUAAUAUUCUACAUGA
rnacentral:rRNA from 1 species